rnacentral:rRNA from 1 species
GUGGGGAAUCUUCCGCAAUGGACGAAAGUCUGACGGAGCAACGCCGCGUGAGUGAUGAAGGUCUUCGGAUUGUAAAGCUCUGUUAAUCGGGACGAAAGAGCCUAGUGUGAAUAAUGCUAGGAAGUGACGGUACCGGAAUAGAAAGCCACGGCUAACUACGUGCCAGCAGCCGCGGUAAUACGUAGGUGGCAAGCGUUGUCCGGAAUUAUUGGGCGUAAAGCGCGCGAAGGCGGAUCUGCCAGUCUGUCUUAAAAGUUCGGGGCUUAACCCCGUGAUGGGAUGGAAACUACAGAUCUAGAGUAUCGGAGAGGAAAGUGGAAUUCCUAGUGUAGCGGUGAAAUGCGUAGAUAUUAGGAAGAACACCAGUGGCGAAGGCGACUUUCUGGACGAAAACUGACGCUGAGGCGCGAAAGCCAGGGGAGCGAACGGGAUUAGAUACCCUUGUAGUCC